rnacentral:rRNA from 1 species
UACGUAGGGAGCAAGCGUUGUCCGGAAUCAUUGGGCGUAAAGCGCGCGUAGGCGGCCCUGUAAGUCCGUUGUGAAAGUCAAAGGCUCAACCUUUGAAAGCCGAUGGAUACUGCAGGGCUAGAGUCCGGAAGAGGCGAGUGGAAUUCCUGGUGUAGCCGGUGGAAUGCGCAGAUAUCAGGAGGAACACCAAUAGCGAAGGCAGCUCGCUGGGACGGUACUGACGCUAAGGCGCGAAAGCGUGGGGAGCGAACGAGG